rnacentral:rRNA from 1 species
AACGAACGCUGGCGGCAGGCCUAACACAUGCAAGUCGAGCGAGGACUUCGGUCCUAGCGGCGGACGGGGGAGUAACGCGUGGGAACGUGCCCUUUGCUUCGGAAUAGCCCUGGGAAACUGGGAGUAAUACCGGAUGAGCCCUUUGGGGGAAAGAUUUAUCGGCGAAGGAUCGGCCCGCGUUGGAUUAGGUAGUUGGGGGGGUAAUGGCCUACCAAGCCGACGAGCCAUAGCUGGUUUGAGAGGAUGAUCAGCCACACUGGGACUGAGACACGGCCCAGACUCCUACGGGAGGCAGCAGUGGGGAAUCUUAGACAAUGGGGGAAACCCUGAUCUAGCCAUGCCGCGUGAGCGAUGAAGGCCUUAGGGUUGUAAAGCUCUUUCAGCUGGGAAGAUAAUGACGGUACCAGCAGAAGAAGCCCCGGCUAACUCCGUG